rnacentral:rRNA from 1 species
AGUAAUGUGUGUAGCUAACCGAUACUAAUAGCUGGAUUGAUUUACUUUGCUGUGAGAUUACAUAUGCAUAUAGUGUUAAUGCUAUAAGAGUGUAGUAUCAACUCACAAAGUUAUCAGGUUAAAUAGCUUUAUCAACUAAUAAAAAUGUUAUUGCAUAACUAAUGUUAUACUGUAGCCCCGCCACGAUAUCCAGCGAAAAUUAUUUUGCUGAGUAUCGUAGUAAAAGUUAAGAUAUGAUGUUAAGAAUUUUUUUGAGUCGUGCAAUAACAUUAACAGCAAACU